rnacentral:rRNA from 1 species
AGCAGCCGCGGUAAUUCCAGCUCCAAUAGCGUAUAUUAAAGUUGCUGCAGUUAAAAAGCUCGUAGUUGAAUUUCGAGACCGGCUUACUGGUCGUGCUUUUGUACGUACUGGUAUAAUCGGUUUCUCCUUUCUGACGAACUAUAAUGCCAUUAAUUUGGUGUUAUAGGGAAUCAGGACUGUUACUUUGAAAAAUUAGAGUGUUUAAAGCAGGCUCACGCUUGAAUACAUUAGCAUGGAAUAACGGAAUAGGACGUUUGAUUCUAUUUUGUUGGUUUCUAGGAUCGACGUAAUGAUUAAUAGGGAUAGUUGGGGGCAUUAGUAUUCAAUUGUCAGAGGUGAAAUUCUUGGAUUUAUUGAAGACUAACUACUGCGAAAGCAUUUGCCAAGGAUGUUUUCAUUAAUCAAGAACGAAAGUUGGGGGAUCGAAGACGAUCAGAUACCGUCGUAGUC